rnacentral:rRNA from 1 species
UACAGAGGUCUCAAGCGUUGUUCGGAUUCAUUGGGCGUAAAGGGUGCGUAGGCGGCGCGGUAAGUCGGGUGUGAAAUCUUGGAGCUUAACUCCGAAACUGCAUUCGAUACUGCCGUGCUUGAGGACUGGAGAGGAGACUGGAAUUUACGGUGUAGCGGUGAAAUGCGUAGAUAUCGUAAGGAAGACCAGUGGCGAAGGCGGGUCUCUGGACAGUUCCUGACGCUGAGACACGAAGGCCAGGGGAGCAAACGGG